rnacentral:rRNA from 1 species
AUACAUGCAAGUCGAGCGAACAGAUAAGGAGCUUGCUCCUUUGACGUUAGCGGCGGACGGGUGAGUAACACGUGGGUAACCUACCUAUAAGACUGGGAUAACUUCGGGAAACCGGAGCUAAUACCGGAUAACAUUUGGAACCGCAUGGUUCUAAAGUGAAAGAUGGUUUUGCUAUCACUUAUAGAUGGACCCGCGCCGUAUUAGCUAGUUGGUAAGGUAACGGCUUACCAAGGCGACGAUACGUAGCCGACCUGAGAGGGUGAUCGGCCACACUGGAACUGAGACACGGUCCAGACUCCUACGGGAGGCAGCAGUAGGGAAUCUUCCGCAAUGGGCGAAAGCCUGACGGAGCAACGCCGCGUGAGUGAUGAAGGGUUUCGGCUCGUAAAACUCUGUUAUUAGGGAAGAACAAACGUGUAAGUAAC